AGAUGGAUUGGUGCCUUCGGGAACUCUGAGACAGGUGCUGCAUGGCUGUCGUCAGCUCGUGUUGUGAAAUGUUGGGUUAAGUCCCGCAACGAGCGCAACCCUUAUCCUUUGUUGCCAGCGGUUCGGCCGGGAACUCAAAGGAGACUGCCAGUGAUAAACUGGAGGAAGGUGGGGAUGACGUCAAGUCAUCAUGGCCCUUACGAGUAGGGCUACACACGUGCUACAAUGGCAUAUACAAAGAGAAGCGACCUCGCGAGAGCAAGCGGACCUCAUAAAGUAUGUCGUAGUCCGGAUUGGAGUCUGCAACUCGACUCCAUGAAGUCGGAAUCGCUAGUAAUCGUAGAUCAGAAUGCUACGGUGAAUACGUUCCCGGGCCUUGUACACACCGA
rnacentral:rRNA from 1 species